GGUCCGAACCCACGAGCGUUGAAAAGCUCGGGGAUGACUUGUGGGUAGCGGUGAAAUUCCAAUCGAGCCCGGAGAUAGCUGGUUCUCCCCGAAAUAGCUUUAGGGCUAGCCUCAAGGUGAGAGAUACGGAGGUAGAGCACUGAAUGUCCUAGGGGGUAUUGCACCUACCGAAGACUAUCAAACUCCGAAUGCCGUCAUCUUAUACUUGGGAGUCAGACUGUGGGUGAUAAGAUUCAUAGUCGAAAGGGCAACAGCCCAGAUCGUCAGCUAAGGUCCCUAAAUGUAAGUUAAGUGGUAAAGGAUGUGGGAUUGCACAGACAACCAGGAUGUUGGCUUAGAAGCAGCCACUCAUUCAAAGAGUGCGUAAUAGCUCACUGGUCGAGUGAUCCUGCGCCGAAGAUUUCCGGGGCUAAAACUUACUACCGAAGCUACGGCAUCAGUAAUGAUGGGUAGGGGAGCUUCCCAUACGGGUUGAAGCAUGACCGUAAGGACAUGUGGACAGUAUGGGAGUGAGAAUGUUGGCAUGAGUAGCGAGAUGUGGGUGAGAAUCCCACAGGCCGUAAACCCAAGGUUUCCAGGGGAAGGUUCGUCCGCCCUGGGUUAGUCGGGACCUAAGCUGAGGCCGAAAGGCGUAGGUGAUGGACAACAGGUUGAUAUUCCUGUACUACCGAUAACCGUUUGAGAGAAGGGAUGACACAGUAGGAUAAGCUAAGCACACUGUUGGUUAUGUGUGCCCAAGCAUUGAGGCAGUCAAAGUAGGCAAAUCCGCUUUGAUAAUGCUGGGAUGUGAUGGGGAGCGAAAUUUAGUAGCGAAGUAGCUGAUUUCACACUGUCAAGAAAAGUCUCUAUCGAGGUUAAAGGUACCCGUACCGCAAACCGACACAGGUGGGUGAGGAGAGUAUCCUAAGGCCAGCGAGAGAACUGUUGUUAAGGAACUCGGCAAAAUGACCCCGUAACUUAGGGAUAAGGGGUGCCACCAUCAGGUGGCCGCAGAGAAUAGGCCCAAGCGACUGUUUACCAAAAACAUAGGUUUCUGCUAAGUCGCAAGACGAUGUAUAGGAGCUGACGCCUGCCCGGUGCUGGAAGGUUAAGGGGAUCUGUUAGAGUAAUCGAAGCAGUGAACUUAAGCCCCAGUAAACGGCGGCCGUAACUAUAACGGUCCUAAGGUAGCGAAAUUCCUUGUCGGGUAAGUUCCGACCCGCACGAAAGGCGUAACGAUUUGGGCACUGUCUCAACAACAGACUCGGUGAAAUUGUAAUUCCGGUGAAGAUGCCGGAUACCUGCGACAGGACGGAAAGACCCCAUGGAGCUUUACUGUAGCUUGACAUUGGGUC
rnacentral:rRNA from 1 species